rnacentral:piRNA from 1 species
UACAAGGAACGCUUUUAUGAUUGAUUCCA